rnacentral:rRNA from 1 species
GACAGAGGGUGCAAACGUUGUUCGGAAUUACUGGGCGUAAAGCGCGCGUAGGCGGCUUGACAAGUCGAGUGUGAAAUCCCCGGGCUUAACCUGGGAGCUGCAUUCGAAACUGUCUUGCUAGAGUAUGGGAGAGGGAGGUGGAAUUCCACGUGUAGCAGUGAAAUGCGUAGAUAUGUGGAGGAAUACCGAUGGCGAAGGCAGCCCCCUGGGAUAACACUGACGCUCAUGCACGAAAGCGUGGGGAGCAAACAGG